AUUGAACGCUGGCGGCAGGCCUAACACAUGCAAGUCGAGCGGAUGAAGGGAGCUUGCUCCUGGAUUCAGCGGCGGACGGGUGAGUAAUGCCUAGGAAUCUGCCUGGUAGUGGGGGAUAACGUCCGGAAACGGGCGCUAAUACCGCAUACGUCCUGAGGGAGAAAGUGGGGGAUCUUCGCACCUCACGCUAUCAGAUGAGCCUAGGUCGGAUUAGCUAGUUGGUGGGGUAAAGGCCUACCAAGGCGACGAUCCGUAACUGGUCUGAGAGGAUGAUCAGUCACACUGGAACUGAGACACGGUCCAGACUCCUACGGGAGGCAGCAGUGGGGAAUAUUGGACAAUGGGCGAAAGCCUGAUCCAGCCAUGCCGCGUGUGUGAAGAAGGUCUUCGGAUUGUAAAGCACUUUAAGUUGGGAGGAAGGGCAGUAAGUUAAUACCUUGCUGUUUUGACGUUACCAACAGAAUAAGCACCGGCUAACUUCGUG
rnacentral:rRNA from 1 species